AGAGUUUGAUCCUGGCUCAGAAUGAACGCUGGCGGCGUGCUUAACACAUGCAAGUCGAACGAGAAAGCUACAGCUUGCUGUAGCGAGUAAAGUGGCGCACGGGUGAGUAACGCGUGGGUAAUUUACCUUUGAAACUGGGAUAACGUGCCGAAAGGCACGCUAAUACCGGAUAAGAUCAUAUGUACUUCGGUACAAGUGAUAAAAGAUGGCCUCUACGAGUAAGCUGUCGUUUGGAGAUAAGCCCGCGUACCAUUAGCUAGUUGGUAGGGUAACGGCCUACCAAGGCGACGAUGGUUAGCUGGUCUGAGAGGAUGAUCAGCCACACUGGAACUGGAACACGGUCCAGACUCCUACGGGAGGCAGCAGUGAGGAAUCUUGCGCAAUGGGGGCAACCCUGACGCAGCAACGCCGCGUGAGUGAUGAAGGCUUUCGAGUCGUAAAGCUCUGUCAAGUGGGAAGAAACCUUGGUAUUUUAAUAGGGUGCUGAGCUGACGGUACCACUGAAGGAAGCACCGGCUAACUCCGUGCCAGCAGCCGCGGUAAUACGGGGGGUGCAAGCGUUAUUCGGAUUUAUUGGGCGUAAAGGGCGCGCAGGCGGCCAGUUAAGUCAGAUGUGAAAGCCCGGGGCUCAACCCCGGAAGUGCAUUUGAAACUAAUUGGCUUGAGUAUGGUAGAGGGAAGUGGAAUUCCUGGUGUAGCGGUGAAAUGCGUAGAUAUCAGGAGGAACACCGGUGGCGAAGGCGACUUCCUGGGCCAAUACUGACGCUGAGGCGCGAAGGCGUGGGUAGCAAACAGGAUUAGAUACCCUGGUAGUCCACGCAGUAAACGGUGAUCACUAGGUGUAGCGGGUAUUGACCCCUGCUGUGCCGGAGCUAACGCAUUAAGUGAUCCGCCUGGGGAGUACGGUCGCAAGAUUAAAACUCAAAGGAAUUGACGGGGGCCCGCACAAGCGGUGGAGCAUGUGGUUUAAUUCGACGCAACGCGAAGAACCUUACCUGGACUUGACAUCCCGAGAAGUCUUUUGAAAGAAAGAUGUGCCCUUCGGGGAACUCGGUGACAGGUGCUGCAUGGCUGUCGUCAUCUCGUGUCGUGAGAUGUUGGGUUAAGUCCCGCAACGAGCGCAACCCUUGUCUUCAGUUACCAUCAUUAAGUUGGGGACUCUGGAGAUACUGCCCCGGUUAACGGGGAGGAAGGUGGGGAUGACGUCAAGUC
rnacentral:rRNA from 1 species